rnacentral:rRNA from 1 species
AGUGAACGCUGGCGGCAGGCCUAACACAUGCAAGUCGAACGGCAGCACGGCAGUAGCAAUACUGUGGGUGGCGAGUGGCGGACGGGUGAGGAAUACAUCGGGAUCUACCCUGUUGUGGGGGAUAACGUAGGGAAACUUACGCUAAUACCGCAUAAGAACUGAGGUUGAAAGCGGCGGACCGCAAGGCGUCGCGCGAUUGGAUGAACCGAUGUCCGAUUAGCUAGUUGGCGGGGUAAAGGCCCACCAAGGCGACGAUCGGUAGCUGGUCUGAGAGGACGACCAGCCACACUGGAACUGAGACACGGUCCAGACUCUUACGGGAGGCAGCAGUGGGGAAUAUUGCGCAAUGGGCGAAAGCCUGACGCAGCCAUGCCGCGUGAAUGAUGAAGGUCUUAGGAUUGUAAAAUUCUUUCACCGGGGGAAGAUAAUGACGGUACCCGGAGAAGAAGCCCCGGCUAACUUCGUGCCAGCAGCCGCGGUAAU